rnacentral:rRNA from 1 species
AGUGAACGCUGGCGGUAGGCCUAACACAUGCAAGUCGAACGGCAGCACAGUAAUAGCUUGCUCUUACGGGUGGCGAGUGGCGGACGAGUGAGGAAUACAUCGGAAUCUACUUUUUCGUGGGGGAUAACGUAGGGAAACUUACGCUAAUACCGCAUACGACCUACGGGUGAAAGCAGGGGAUCUUCGGACCUUGCGCGAUUGAAUGAGCCGAUGUCGGAUUAGCUAGUUGGCGGGGUAAAGGCCCACCAAGGCGACGAUCCGUAGCUGGUCUGAGAGGAUGAUCAGCCACACUGGAACUGAGACACGGUCCAGACUCCUACGGGAGGCAGCAGUGGGGAAUAUUGGACAAUGGGCGCAAGCCUGAUCCAGCCAUACCGCGUGGGUGAAGAAGGCCUUCGGGUUGUAAAGCCCUUUUGUUGGGAAAGAAAAGCAGCAGGUUAAUACCCCGCUGUUCUGACGGUACCAAAAGAAUAAGCACCGGCUAACUUCGUG